rnacentral:rRNA from 1 species
CCCUUAGACGUUCUGGGCCGCACGCGCGCUACACUGACCAGUGCAACAAGCAUCCGUCCUUGGCCGACAGGCCCGGGCAAUCUUUGAACGCUGGUCGUGAUGGGGAUAGACUUUUGCAAUUUUUGGUCUUCAACGAGGAAUUCCUAGUAAACGCAAGUCAUCAACUUGCAUUGAUUACGUCCCUGCCCUUUGUACACACCGCCCGUCGCACCUACCGAUUGAAUGGUCCGGUGAAGCCUCCGGAUUGGCGCGCACCCCGGUGCCGCCGAGAAGUUGGCUAAACCUUACCAUUUAGAGGAAGGUGAANUCGUANCA